CAACAGGCUGCUUUGCUGCAAUGCUGCUCCCACCAGAUUUGAUCCACCUUCAGGAAUAAAUAGACUCCACGGCUGCACCUCUCCCCAACCACCGAGCUCAGGGGAUCGCUCCUCUAGAGCCGUGUCCAGGCUGCGUUCCUCCUUGCCUUCCUCCUACCCCCGGCCGGAGACGGAGAUCCCGACCCUCUGCCCCGCGCCGACGGCUAUCCUAUCUUGCUUAAGAGCCAAGGAUCAUCGGCAAUCUGACCUGCCUGUUACAGCCCUUGGGUGUAUCAAUUUUACCUAGCUCCGUCACAACCACCACCAAUAUCUCCUCUGACUAGCCGCUGGUAUGAGUUCACAGCAGCUGAAGCAUGUGGAUGAAGCCCUUCUCGAUCGUCCUGGCAAGCAGCCAGCGCCGAAGGACACCAAAGACCAUGGUAUCUCAUUGCUCACGAUAAUUGGCUUCAUGUUCCUGACUUUCAACUCGGGCAUGGCCGUAUACCGGUCAAAUGGGGACUUGGGAGCCAUAUCUUUUGUGGGCUUCUCAUAUGUGGACCUUGUCUCGCUCUUCUACUGCUUACGUUGGUACGAGAGUACACCUCCAGAGUCGCCACGCCGUGGACACCUCAAGAUGGCAGUUUGGCUUCUCACCACAAUGCUCACUGCCGCCUUCUCAUACAAGGUGGCCGCAAUCAUGCCAUUCCCGGUGCAGGUGCUUGUGUGGAGCAUGGCUGGUGCUACAGUUCUUGGUGGGUUCUACGCUUUCUUCCUGCACCGGGAGGGAACAAAAGAAUGAUGAGGAUGAUGAUGGCUUGUCCCCUUUUGUCUUCACUGGUCAUUGAUCUUCCUGUCUUCUGUUCUGGGGUACACACGAACGUUGUUGAGGCCUGAGAAGAAAGUUCAUGGGAAAGCUAAACCCUGAGCAUGAAUCACAAAUGCCUUCGUUUCCCAGCCUUGACGUUAGGGCGAUGUCAACAGAGUGCCACUGACGAGGAACAGUUGGGUAUGGACGCCGCGGUCCGUCAUCCUCCUGCCUCUUCAUCAAGGUGGCUACGCUCACCUGACUGGGGAGGUUGCAGGACCAAAACUCUGCAGUUGGCAAAUGAGAUAGCGACGUUGCGGAACUACGCUGUAGACUACGCAUAUGGAUUAUCUUUCUUCCAUGACGUCUUCUCUUUCGCGAGUCUCCCUAGUAUAACGUCGUCUGCUUGUGGUUCAUACAUCCAAUGGUACGACAAAACUUCGCGUCAGAACAUGAGCGAUAAUUUGACUUGAGUUCCUGA